rnacentral:rRNA from 1 species
CCUACGGGAGGCAGCAGUGAGGAAUAUUGGUCAAUGGGCGGAAGCCUGAACCAGCCAAGUCGCGUGAGGGAGGAAGGUACAGAGUAUCGUAAACCUCUUUUGUCAGGGAACAAAGACUGGGACGCGUCCCCGGAUGAGGGUACCUGAAGAAAAAGCAUCGGCUAACUCCGUGCCAGCAGCCGCGGUAAUAUGGAGGAUGCGAGCGUUAUCCGGAUUUAUUGGGUUUAAAGGGUGCGCAGGCGGUCUGUUAAGUCAGCGGUAAAAGCCCGGGGCUCAACCCCGGCCCGCCGUUGAAACUGGCAGUCUCGAGUUGGAGAGAGGUAUGCGGAAUGCGCGGUGUAGCGGUGAAAUGCAUAGAUAGCGCGCAGAACUCCGAUUGCGAAGGCAGCAUGCCGGCGCCACACUGACGCUGAGGCACGAAAGCGUGGGUAUCGAACAGGAUUAGAUACCCUGGUAGUC